GCCAGGUGGCGCAAGGGGUAGCACUGCUACAUAGCAACACCUGUGGGCCAUGAGUUCAAAUCCCGUCUGUGACUGUGUGGAAUGCAGGCAGGUAGCAGCGGUGCAUGGCUACAAUGUGCGAAGUGGAUUCAAAGUUCCAGGUAAGAGUUCUCAAGAUGUCCAAACACUGAGUUCCAGGUAAGACUACUCAAGAAGUCUGGAUUCCAGGUAAGACCUGUCAAGAUGGCUGCAUUCCAGAUGCAAGGUAAGACCAGUGGUGCAUGGUUACAAUGUGUGAAGUGGAUUCCAAAUUCCAGGUAAGAGUUCUCAAGAUGUCUGAACACUGAGUUCCAGGUAAGAGGUCUGGAUUGCAGGUAAGCCCUGUCAAGAUGGCCGUAGACUGGGUUCCAGGUAAGGAGCAAAA